rnacentral:tRNA from 1 species
GGACUUAUAGUUUAAUUGAUUUAAAUGUACCACUCAUAAUGGUGAUAUUAUAGGUUCAAGCCCUACUAAACCUA